rnacentral:tRNA from 2 species
UCCUGGUUAGCUCUGGCGGUAGAGCAUUCCAUUGGAAACGGAGAGGUCCCUGGUUUGAUACCAGGACCAGGCG